rnacentral:rRNA from 1 species
UACGUAGGGGGCUAGCGUUGUCCGGAUUUAUUGGGCGUAAAGAGCGCGUAGGCGGCCGAGUAAGUCCGACGUGAAAUCUGGAGGCUCAACCUCCAGCGGUCGUUGGAAACUACUCGGCUAGAGUCCGGAAGAGGAGAGUGGAAUUCCUGGUGUAGCGGUGAAAUGCGCAGAUAUCAGGAGGAACACCAGUGGCGAAGGCGGCACUCUGGGCCAGUACUGACGCUGAGGAGCGAAAGCGUGGGGAGCGAACAGG